UUGGCCCUGAGUCAAGGCCGGCAGUUUGCUGAAGCUGUUGGUUUCAAGCAGGAGGCUGAAGAAAUGACUUUCUAAGGGCACCUGGAGGGUUCAGUC
ensembl:snoRNA